AGUGAACGCUGGCGGCAGGCCUAACACAUGCAAGUCGAACGGCAGCACACUAAGAGCUUGCUCUUACGGGUGGCGAGUGGCGGCCGGGUGAGGAAUACAUCGGAAUCUACUUUUUCGUGGGGGAUAACGUAGGGAAAUUUACGCUAAUACCGCAUACGACCUACGGGUGGAAGCAGGGGAUCUUCGGACCUUGCGCGAUCGAAUGACCGGUUCUCGGUUUCGCUAGUUGGCGGGGUAACGGCCCACCAAGGCUACGAUCCGUAGCUGGUCUGAGAGAAUGAUCAGCCACACUGGAACUGAGACACGGUCCGGACUCCUACGGGAGGCAGCAGUGGGGAAUAUUGGACAAUGGGCGCAAGCCUGAUCCAGCCCUACCGCGUGGGUGAAGAAGGCCUUCGGGUUGUAAAGCCCUUUUGUUGGGAAAGAAAAGCAGCAGGUUAAUACCCCGCUGUUCUGACGGUACCCAAAGAAUAAGCACCGGCUAACUUCGUG
rnacentral:rRNA from 1 species